GCCUAAUACAUGCAAGUCGAGCGAAUGGAUUAAGAGCUUGCUCUUAUGAAGUUAGCGGCGGACGGGUGAGUAACACGUGGGUAACCUGCCCAUAAGACUGGGAUAACUCCGGGAAACCGGGGCUAAUACCGGAUAACAUUUUGAACUGCAUGGUUCGAAAUUGAAAGGCGGCUUCGGCUGUCACUUAUGGAUGGACCCGCGUCGCAUUAGCUAGUUGGUGAGGUAACGGCUCACCAAGGCAACGAUGCGUAGCCGACCUGAGAGGGUGAUCGGCCACACUGGGACUGAGACACGGCCCAGACUCCUACGGGAGGCAGCAGUAGGGAAUCUUCCGCAAUGGACGAAAGUCUGACGGAGCAACGCCGCGUGAGUGAUGAAGGCUUUCGGGUCGUAAAACUCUGUUGUUAGGGAAGAACAAGUGCUAGUUGAAUAAGCUGGCACCUUGACGGUACCUAACCAGAAAGCCACGGCUAACUACGUGCCAGCAGCCGCGGUAAUACGUAGGUGGCAAGCGUUAUCCGGAAUUAUUGGGCGUAAAGCGCGCGCAGGUGGUUUCUUAAGUCUGAUGUGAAAGCCCACGGCUCAACCGUGGAGGGUCAUUGGAAACUGGGAGACUUGAGUGCAGAAGAGGAAAGUGGAAUUCCAUGUGUAGCGGUGAAAUGCGUAGAGAUAUGGAGGAACACCAGUGGCGAAGGCGACUUUCUGGUCUGUAACUGACACUGAGGCGCGAAAGCGUGGGGAGCAAACAGGAUUAG
rnacentral:rRNA from 1 species